AACGUAGGUGGCGAGCGUUAUCCGGAAUCACUGGGCGUAAAGGGCAUCUAGGCGGCCUGGUAAGUUGCGUGUGAAAGCCCCUGGCUCAACUGGGGGAGGACAUGCAAGACUGCCGGGCUUGAGGGUCAGAGAGGGACGUGGAAUUCCCGGUGUAGUGGUGAAAUGCGUAGAGAUCGGGAGGAACACCAGUGGCGCAAGCGGCGUCCUGGCUGACCCCUGACGCUGAAGUGCGAAAGCGUGGGGAGCGAACGGG
rnacentral:rRNA from 1 species